AUUUUAUUUUAUUUAUUUAUUUAUUUAUUUUAACACCAACAGAAGUGAUAACCAUUUUUGCACACAGAACACUGAAAUCUUUUUUACCGGCUCACAAUAUCAGAGACCAGAGUUCUCCUUAUGAGAAACCCAGGUCAGCAGUGCCCCGUGCAUCACCUGGACAAUGGCAGCCAUUCUUUCAUUUGCUAGAAGGCCCAAGGUCUUGUCGUCCACCAGGAGGCUCUCCUUGGAAGGGUGCCUUGGACUCAGGCUGUGCAUAGGCACAAACGACAAUGGGCCUAGUAGUCUUCAUCACAGGCCACAUGCCAGCGGCAGGAAAGCUUCUUUUCUACUGCAGGGAAAGCCAAUUAGUGCUGUUUAAUGAAAAGCGACUUCCUUUUGUUUACUUUAUAGAAAAGCAAAUUAAGUGUUCUAGUCAUCAUCAAUUUAAAUUAAGACUAGGAAACAAAGACCGAGCUAAAAUUAAUACAACUAUACCUCAGUUCUGCAGUAUGACCAGAUAGAAAGAAAACGAGGAGUAUAAUAAAGAGAUAGGAAAGCAGAAAAAAGUAUGGCAAGGCUCUCAGAGGAAGAGGCACUUGGGCAAAUGGGCAGACAGACCCUUCGCCGACACAGACACCCGGCACAAGAGGUCAACAGAACAUGCAACAGCGUGUCACCCCGUCUUGUGUCUUUUGGGAUACUGGCAAUUGACACCUGAAAAAAUCGGGUUCCCUUUUCACAGCUAUAGUGAUCAAGCUCCUCUUGGGACCUGCUCCAUCCUUUGGAAGACGGAUUCAUUUAUUAGCAGAAGUUUCCCAUUUGUGGCUUUAUGGUCUUGGGAGAGGAAUCGCAGAAAUAUUACCUAGCUAGGAGACAGCAAACGCCUGGACAUUGGUGAGGAUGAAAACAGGCUCAGAAGCUAAUUUUCAGGAAAAAGACUCAAAUUAUUACAGAACUACAAAAAUGAAGAGAAAAAAUUCAGACACAUCGAUAUUCAAAUUCAAGGGGGAUACAUUUAGGAAAAGGUAAACCUUAACCCAGCAUUAGGCUUAGCCAUAUCUUCUAGAACACCUUAUGCUAAUAUGGCUCCUUCAGAUGCUACAUUGAGUUUAGGCACCAAACAUUUAAGUCUCUCCUUCUCAGAGCACUUGGGGUCAAGACCCACAGAAGGGGCUGGCCCACCCUUCGGAGGCUGAAGAUCUUUGUGCUAGAGGCUCCCUCACCAGGUACCUCCUGUGGGUUUCUUCUGGGACUGGCGCUAGAUGUUGUUCUGGACACUCUCUCAUUAAUGAGUGCCUCCUUUGCAGGCUUGAAUUCUUCCCCUUCCAUUCCUUCUGAAACAUUGCUUUUCCCUUUUACACGCACCUCCAUGUAGCCCUGAAAUUCUGCGGCCAUCGUCUUCACCUCCAGACAAUGACACCCACCUUUCUUUCUCUGUAAGAGUGGGUUCCUGAGGGCCAAAUGCAUGGCUAGCUCUGAUGCGUGUUAGCUCGUGGCCUCUGGCUGAUUAGACGUACUCAUGGGUUUUCCAUUUACCAAGCAGGAUUAUUCCUCCUCCCUGACAUGUGUUGAGAGGACAGAAUGAGACAGAAUGUGUGGGCACCUGGUUCAGUGGCUGGCGGGAGGGCACCCCAUCCCUCAGCAAGCCGUAGGCCUGCCUGGUCCCCCUUCCUUCCCCUUCCAUCCUCUGCCCACCAUCGCGUCUCUCCCAGCCCCUGCUUCUGAUGUCCUGGGUGUUUUGUCAGCAAAUAUUACCCAGGAAACAGCAAAAGGGAAAGGAUACCCUAACCCACGCAGUCCUGGGGGCCGUCAUCCAGGCAGAGUUGGUCUGCAAACAGAAAACCCAUCUGCCUGCAGCAGCCUAUGAGGAGGGAAGGCCUCUCUCUCCAGCUCACUCCAGCACCUCCUUGGUGGACUCUUGCCUGGAACCAAACGAGGAAGGAGAUUCUAGGAAGGACGGCACUGGCUUUUCCUCAGGAGUAGAGGGAGUGGCAAUGUCAGAAGGGAGAGUCCAGCCAGGACGCUGGAGCUGGUGAAACACCCCAGGUCCUGACUGAUAGAAACCUGCCCGAGACCAGCUUCCUCACUGCGCCGUCCUUCCCGCCCUCAGGGCUUUCGUAGGCGCUGAACGCAGCGCUGGGGAUUCUGAAGGUUGUUGGUGGAUUCCUAGAAUGUAGCCCGCAGAACUGUGCCUGGAACGAUACCGGAUCACUGCAAAAGUACAGCGAACAGGGUCGCUUUGAAUAUUAAAGGAGGACUUUUUCAAAGUGUAUAGAGAGCAGUCAAAAGAUCGCCACAGUUGCUCUGUGUUUUCGUGAGCCAGCUUUCUCGGAAGGACUAAGCCAGUGGAUCACAAACAUCCUGGAGAGCAGUGACUCUGUGAUUCCAUCACAAGAAUAUGAAGGACUGAGAAGAUCUCCAGCUCUGCCCAUUGCACCUUCCCAUUGAGAAGCAGCAUGGCACCCUGGUGGCAGGGGCUGAUACUCAGCCGGGCCAGGGUGCUCUCCUGUUAACCAUAACCAAGCUCACAGGACAUGGGAUGAGCCCACUGUGUGACACAGGGAGCGGGACACAGUCUGUUAAGUCUUGCACAGCCAUGCUCUGCCACGCAGGCAGGCCUUUCCUUGGCCUCCCUCUCCCUGUUCGUGCUCAUGUGAACAUCCACCUACGUGGAUAGACUGGGCUUUGGUUCAUUAUUGCUCUGUGAAUUCCUCGAACUUCCGCAUCUGCCCAACCUCCCCCACCCCAUUGUUUUCAUUGUGUUUCACCAAAUGGAAAUUCUAGAGUAAGCAUGUGAGUCCUCUCCCAAACUUGUUCACUGUUGAGAGUGCUAAAAUGCUAACCCCAGAUGCUAACUGAGGGGUAGGGUUACCUUAUCUUUAGAGCACUGCGAAUUGUAUGUUAAGUGGAACUUAAUGAAAAAAUAGUUAAUUGACCAACAUGAAUAUCCCCUGAACAGAAUCUCCCCUGAACAGAAUCCUACAAUGAAACUAAGGGAGAUAAAUAAAGCUGUUUACCUGAAAGCUCUCUCUAAUCAAGAUCCUUUGAAAUUUAUAAAACAUGGUCAAUAUUUGCACUGGACUUUGUAAAAAUAAAGCUUGAUAAGAGAAGAGUUUGAAGUGAAAUGCUGCCACUUUCUAUGCAAUAUUUGAUUUAAAUUUAAUUCCUAGAAACCUCAGAUGAAUGUGGUUCAUGUAUCAAAGCACUCAGCAUUAUUUAUCGCGGCCUUAAAUACACAGUGAGCUUACAUGUGAAUGAAUACAUAUAUUAUGUAUCUCUCUCUAUAUAUAUACUAUAUAGAUAAUAUAGUAUAUAUAUAUAUAUAGUGUAUAUAUACACUAUAUAUAUCGUGUAUACAUAUACUAUCUAUAUAGUAUAUAUGUAUAUGGUAUAUAUAUCUAUCUAUAGAUAGAUAGAUAGAUAUACUUAAAAAAACCCCAUUCCCUUAAGAGCAGUUAAGGGACACCAUAUAUCAAAUUUCUUGGCACGUUGUGAAUAUUAAUAUCCCCAAAGUGUCAAUGUCAAAUGAUUUGACUUGAAAUCACUAAGCUUGGUAAUCUCACUAUUUUUAAACAAGGCCUAACAUCUUUUAAUCUUGAAUACCAGCAAGUUCUCAGACUUCAGUUGUUUAUUUUCUCUUUUCUUUCCUUUAAAAAAUUCUGACAAGCUCUUUUCCUUGACACAAAGAAAGCGUAUAAAUUUUAUUUUGGUUUGAACAACAGAAAUUUGCCUCUCAGAAUUCUGGAGAUUGGAAAGUCUAAGGACUAAGCUGCUGGCCAAUUUAGUUCUUAGUGAGGACUCUCUUCCUGGCUUGUAGAUGGCUGCCUUCUCACUGCAUCCUCAGAGAGAGAGAGAGAGAGGGCUCUUGUGUCUCUUCCUUUCUCAUAAAGCGUCAGCUCUCUUGUAUUAGGGUCCCACCCAUAAUUACCCCCUUAUAUGCCCCAUCUACAAAUAGAGUCACAUUGUGGGUUAGAGCUUGGCAGUGAAUAAUUAUGGAGGUUAUUGUUGGCUUUAGAAUUUCGUGGUAGAAACAAUAAAUUGCCUUUGUGUUUACGUUUUAUUUUAUUUUUUUAACAUUAACAUGUAUUUGCAACAAUGAAAACAGCAGGUGAAUACAUUCUGGGUAGGGGAAAAAGUUAGAGGAGUGCUAUCCAGAAGUUAUAUUUCCUAGGAAUAUGGGGAAUAAAACAUUCAAUAUUGGUGGUUCUAAUAGAUGAAUUAAAUUUAAUUUGAUGUGGAGUGGCCAUGUCCCCUGUCUCGGGAUGCCGUGUGAAGCCUGGCUCUUGUGACAGCUGUUUAGAUUUGCUGAAAGAUGUUUUAAGUGUCCUAGGAAAGAGGUUUCCAUUCAUUCUAGAACUGAUAGUUUUCUCUUAAAGUGUUAAUUUACAUUUUAAUGUUGAUGUGGUAUCCAUCUCAGGUUAAUGUUUGGCACUAGGUAAUUGAAUUUUUAAAAAUCUCAUUUUAUUUUCUGUCUGCUUUUGGGAGAGAGAAGUGGUUAGGUUUUUAUUACAGGAAGGAUUUUUCUCUUUCUCUAUUAUAAUACCUGAAAGCAAAUAUAUAUAAGCUAUACAUGAAGUCAUUACAAUUCUUUUUUCUCAUUUUAUUUUCACUUUUGGGAAAGAUUGCUGCCAAUAUUUGUGAGAUCUCUUUUCAGUUCUAUCUUUUACUUCUGCAUGUCCGUUAUCUUAGCCAUGCAAUGUUUAGUUUGAGGCAGUUUCACCCAAGGGACAUACCUUAGAAUAGACUCUCAUGGCCAGUAAUGAAUGACUGAUGGAGGGAACAGCAGUUUAUAGGUUUUUUGUUGUUUUUAAGGAGAAAAAUUAACACCCUUCAUCAAACCUCCUCUUUCUUCCUUCUCUCCUCCCCUCCAUCUCACCCUGCCUCCCCUUGGGAUCUUACUCCUGUGAUUAGUUUGGGUUCCACACAAAGAAAGAUUUAUUACUUUAAUGUCUUUGUGAUUUAGUUUUAUGUGAUCUUCCUAGGGACACCAGGGAGUACACGCUCCCCUUUCUGAAUAUGUUGUAAGCUCCUUUGAGGCAAAAAUGAAUGUUCCUGUGUUACAAGAACAGAGCAGCCCUUAUCAUCUUCUCGAAUCUUAUCUUUCUGAGUUAAACAUUUGGCAUCAGUGACGAAGUAAGACCAGACAUUGAGGAUGAGACGUCAAAUCCAAAUAGAAUCUUCAACUCGGAGGCACCAGUCUCUCUCACUUGAGGAAAGAAUGCGAAGGAAGGAAUGGCCUGACUUCCUCAUGUGUGCCCUGUUUCUCGGUAGGCACCAUGUGGGGGCUGCCACACAUGUGCCGAAGCUUUGGGAACGUUCCGUUUAAAUACCAAUUUCGAUGCCAAUGCCUAACAUGGAGCACAAAUAUCCAGAGGUAGAAGCUGAGAACAAGGAUGAAGGAAGAAUCAAUGAUGAUUGGGAGAUACUGAGCCUGAGUGAAGGAGGAGAUGGAAAUUAUCACUGGCAGGAGCCGGGAGUGAUGUGAGGGGUUGAUGAGUGAA
rnacentral:lncRNA from 1 species